UGGGGAAUUUUCCGCAAUGGGCGAAAGCCUAACGGAGCAAUGCCGCGUGGAGGUGGAAGGCCUACGGGUCGUCAACUUCUUUUCUCGGAGAAGAAACAAUGACGGUAUCUGAGGAAUAAGCAUCGGCUAACUCUGUGCUAG
rnacentral:rRNA from 1 species